rnacentral:rRNA from 1 species
AGUGAACGCUGGCGGUAGGCCUAACACAUGCAAGUCGAACGGCAGCACAGGAGAGCUUGCUCUCUGGGUGGCGAGUGGCGGACGGGUGAGGAAUACAUCGGAAUCUACUCUGUCGUGGGGGAUAACGUAGGGAAACUUACGCUAAUACCGCAUACGACCUACGGGGGAAAGCAGGGGAUCUUCGGACCUUGCGCGAUUGAAUGAGCCGAUGUCGGAUUAGCUAGUCGGCGGGGUAAAGGCCCACCAAGGCGACGAUCCGUAGCUGGUCUGAGAGGAUGAUCAGCCACACUGGAACUGAGACACGGUCCAGACUCCUACGGGAGGCAGCAGUGGGGAAUAUUGGACAAUGGGCGCAAGCCUGAUCCAGCCAUACCGCGUGGGUGAAGAAGGCCUUCGGGUUGUAAAGCCCUUUUGUUGGGAAAGAAAUCCAGCUGGCUAAUACCCGGUUGGGAUGACGGUACCCAAAGAAUAAGCACCGGCUAACUUCGUGCCAGCAGCCGCGGUAA